CUGGCUCCUGGCGAGGGCGACUUGGCGUCCUUUCCCUCCUCGCAGUGUCAGCUGGAGCCCAGAUGAGACAAUGGAGGCUCAUGGAGAUUAAGGAGAAAGGAAUUGAAUAAGGCCCAAACCCCAGGACAUUACAGCCAUACACAGUACCUGUCAUUAUGAUGCCAUGGAAGACUUACUAAAUGCUACCUCUCCAUAUAAAAUGCAACCCUAUGGACAGGUGAUUCAUCUGUUUGUGUCCUGAAGGUAUUUCAAGCUUGAUGAAUGCCUGUUAAAAUGUGUUGGAAGGAGUGAAUGCCAUAACACGUUGGAGGCACGAGGCACCUGGAAUGUGCCUCCCACAUUAGAUGCUUAAUAAACAACAAGACCCACCUGCACCUCUAAAGUCACUCGGGUAUCUGGAAUUGCUUACUAAGGAAGAGGAAGCCACAGCUCCAUGGCAACAUCUAAUCAAGGCAUUUAUAGACUCUCAGUUGGAAAACAGUUCAGAUACAUCCCAGUCCUUCCUGAUGAAUGAUUUGCCUCUACAUCAUCUGCCAAUUCCUACUCAUUUCAGCCUCUCAGGUGUGAAUAAGAUGCUUUGGUCCUGAUACCAGUCACCAGAGUGCUAUGGACGCGUGCAGUGAUGGCCGCUCACAGAUCUCCUGUCUCCACGUUGAUGAAAGUUGGCAGGGGUCCCAGGGGGGCACUGCUA